CGCAAGCCUGACGGAGCCAGACCGCGUGAGGGAAGAAAGCCUUUGGGUUGUAAACCUCUUUUCUCAGGGAAGAAGCUCUGACGGUACCUGAGGAAUCAGCCUCGGCUAACUCCGUGCCAGCAGCCGCGGUAAUACGGAGGAGGCAAGCGUUAUCCGGAAUUAUUGGGCGUAAAGCGUCCGCAGGUGGCGAUUCAAGUCUGCUGUCAAAGCACGGGGCUUAACUCCGUUAAGGCAGUGGAAACUGAAUAACUUGAGAGCGGUAGGGGUAGAGGGAAUUCCCGGUGUAGCGGUGAAAUGCGUAGAUAUCGGGAAGAACACCAGUGGCGAAGGCGCUCUACUGGGCCGCGACUGACGCUGAGGGACGAAAGCUAGGGGAGCG
rnacentral:rRNA from 1 species